UAAAAAUCAAGAAAUAGAAAAAUAAUUAACAAGAAAUCCGGAAAUGAUGAAGCAGAAGUGACGCAACAGGAACUUCAAAAACGUACACAACAAACAUGGCGUCUCCCAGCGAGGCAGAUGUGAAUGUUUCACACGUGGAAAAAAAGAAAAAGCGUCCAGUUCGUUACUGGCAGGGGACAGAAGGCAAAACGAAAGAUGACAACAAAACUGAAGGACAACCUGAGCAGCAGAAGAGGCAACAGAAUCGAAUAAAAAA